rnacentral:rRNA from 1 species
UGAGGAAUAUUGGUCAAUGGGCGAGAGCCUGAACCAGCCAAGUAGCGUGCAGGAUGACGGCCCUAUGGGUUGUAAACUGCUUUUAUAUGGGAAUAAAGUGAGGGACGUGUCCCUUAUUGCAUGUACCAUACGAAUAAGGACCGGCUAAUUCCGUGCCAGCAGCCGCGGUAAUACGGAAGGUCCAGGCGUUAUCCGGAUUUAUUGGGUUUAAAGGGCAUCUAGGCGGUAAGACAAGUUGAAGGUGAAAACCUGUGGCUCAACCAUAGGCUUGCCUACAAAACUGUUGAACUAGAGUACUGGAAAGGUGGGUGGAACUACACGAGUAGAGGUGAAAUUCGUAGAUAUGUGUAGGAAUGCCGAUGAUGAAGAUAACUCACUGGACAGAAACUGACGCUGAAGUGCGAAAGCUAGGGGAGCAAACAGG